rnacentral:lncRNA from 1 species
CGGGUGGGCGACCGCCGCGUGGGGUCCAUUCCGGUUCGGGGCUGACCCGAAGGAGCUCCGGAGCGGUGCUGGUCUGCUCGAUGGUGCUACGGGGAGUGCUGGCAGCCAGCGCUAGGGACAGACAGCGCACCCCACAGCUCCUCGGCACGGAUGCCAGGUCAACAGCGUCUUCCAUCCACACGCAACGUGGUUUAAAAGCACGUGUGAAUGCGAGCUAAAAUGGGAAACCUUACCAACACCGAGAUGUUAAUACACAGAAAUCCUCUGAGAUGCUGCGAAGCAGGAUGCGACGUGCGGCGCUUCAGCAUCGCUCUUACAAACGGCUUGAGCUUCUCUGUGACUAGGAAAGCAGCAGAAGAACACAAACAGCCUUUGUGCGUUUUGAAAGGCCAAUUAUCUGCAAAUUAUUUAUGGCAAAAAGAUGCAGGCUGCGGGGCUGGGCUGGGAUACGUGCUGCGUUUCUGAACAAAUAGCCCUGCUGCUGUUCUUGUGAGAUACGGACCCCCCGCUGCUCCCAUAAGCGCUCAGCACCUCGCUGUGCUGUGCCCUUCGGAGCUGUUGUGGCACAUCCCUUUGCGAUGC